rnacentral:rRNA from 1 species
UACGUAGGGUCCGAGCGUUGUCCGGAAUUACUGGGCGUAAAGAGCUCGUAGGUGGUUUGUCGUGUUGUUCGUGAAAACUCACAGCUCAACUGUGGGCGUGCGGGCGAUACGGGCAGACUUGAGUACUGCAGGGGAGACUGGAAUUCCUGGUGUAGCGGUGGAAUGCGCAGAUAUCAGGAGGAACACCGGUGGCGAAGGCAGAUCUCUGGGCCGUAACUGACGCUGAGGAGCGAAAGCAUGGGGAGCGAACAGG